GACGAACGCUGGCGGCGUGCCUAAUACAUGCAAGUUGAGCGCUGAAGGUUGGUACUUGUACCAACUGGAUGAGCAGCGAACGGGUGAGUGACGCGUGGGGAAUCUGCCUUUGAGCGGGGGACAACAUUUGGAAACGAAUGCUAAUACCGCAUAAAAACUUUAAACACAAGUUUUAAGUUUGAAAGAUGCAAUUGCAUCACUCAAAGAUGAUCCCGCGUUGUAUUAGCUAGUUGGUGAGGUAAAGGCUCACCAAGGCGAUGAUACAUAGCCGACCUGAGAGGGUGAUCGGCCACAUUGGGACUGAGACACGGCCCAAACUCCUACGGGAGGCAGCAGUAGGGAAUCUUCGGCAAUGGACGAAAGUCUGACCGAGCAACGCCGCGUGAGUGAAGAAGGGUUUCGGAUCGUAAAACUCUGUUGGUAGAGAAGAACGUUGGUGAGAGUGGAAAGCUCAUCAAGUGACGGUAACUACCCAGAAAGGGACGGCUAACUACGUG
rnacentral:rRNA from 1 species